AUACGGAGGGUGCAAGCGUUAAUCGGAACUACUGGGCGUAAAGCGCGCGUAGGCGGUUUAGUCAGUCAGAUGUGAAAGCCCCGGGCUCAACUUGGGAACUGCAUUUGAUACUGCUGAACUAGAGUAUGGUAGAGGGAAGUGAAAUUCCGGGUGUAGCGGUGAAAUGCGUAGAUAUCCGGAGGAACACCAGUGGCGAAGGCGACUUCCUGGACCAAUACUGACGCUGAGGUGCGAAAGCGUGGGUAGCAAACAGGAUUAGAAACCCGAGUAGUCC
rnacentral:rRNA from 1 species